rnacentral:rRNA from 1 species
AGAGUUUGAUCAUGGCUCAGGACGAACGCUGGCGGCAUGCCUAAUACAUGCAAGUCGAGCGGAAUGAUGAGAGCUUGCUCUCUGAUUCAGCGGCGGACGGGUGAGUAACACGUGGGCAACCUGCCCUACAGAUGGGGAUAACUCCGGGAAACCGGGGCUAAUACCGAAUAAACAGUUUGUCCGCAUGGAUAAACUCUGAAAGACGGUUUCGGCUGUCACUGUAGGAUGGCCCGCGGCGCAUUAGCUAGUUGGUGGGGUAAUGGCCUACCAAGGCAACGAUGCGUAGCCGACCUGAGAGGGUGAUCGGCCACACUGGGACUGAGACACGGCCCAGACUCCUACGGGAGGCAGCAGUAGGGAAUCUUCCACAAUGGACGAAAGUCUGAUGGAGCAAUGCCGCGUGAGCGAAGAAGGUUUUCGGAUCGUAAAGCUCUGUUGUAAGGGAAGAACACGUACGGGAGUAACUGCCCGUACCUUGACGGUACCUUAUUAGAAAGCCACGGCUAACUACGUGCCAGCAGCCGCGGUAAUACGUAGGUGGCAAGCGUUGUCCGGAAUUAUUGGGCGUAAAGCGCGCGCAGGCGGUUCUUUAAGUCUGAUGUGAAAGCCCACGGCUCAACCGUGGAGGGUCAUUGGAAACUGGAGAACUUGAGUACAGAAGAGGAAAGCGGAAUUCCACGUGUAGCGGUGAAAUGCGUAGAGAUGUGGAGGAACACCAGUGGCGAAGGCGGCUUUCUGGUCUGUAACUGACGCUGAGGCGCGAAAGCGUGGGGAGCAAACAGGAUUAGAAACCCUGGUAGUCCACGCCGUAAACGAUGAGUGCUAAGUGUUAGGGGGUUUCCGCCCCUUAGUGCUGCAGCUAACGCAUUAAGCACUCCGCCUGGGGAGUACGACCGCAAGGUUGAAACUCAAAUGAAUUGACGG